rnacentral:rRNA from 1 species
UACGUAGGGCGCAAGCGUUGUCCGGAAUUAUUGGGCGUAAAGAGCUCGUAGGCGGUUUGUCGCGUCGGAUGUGAAAGCCCGGGGCUUAACUCCGGGUCUGCAUUCGAUACGGGCAGACUAGAGUGUGGUAGGGGAGAUCGGAAUUCCUGGUGUAGCGGUGAAAUGCGCAGAUAUCAGGAGGAACACCGGUGGCGAAGGCGGAUCUCUGGGCCAUUACUGACGCUGAGGAGCGAAAGCGUGGGGAGCGAACAGG